rnacentral:lncRNA from 1 species
AUGGAGAAGGCGGAGGCGGAUCGGGAGGAGCCGGCGGGGCGCAUGCUGGGCGGGGCUCCCCAGGGCGCCCCGGCCGGUGGCGGCAGGGGGCACCGCGCAGGAAGCCAAGAUUGCUCACCACCUGCAGCGUCUUUUCGGAGGAGGCGGCUGGCACGGAGGCCGGGCUACAUGAGAAGCGCAGCUGGGCCCAGGAUCGGGUUCCUCUCCCCGCCAGUGGGCGCUCCGUUCCGGGCCCAGGGAGGGGCAUGUGGCGAGGAGUCUCACCACCCUGAGUUCAGGGCUGGCCCGUGUGGCCUUGACCCUGGAGGCCAGUGGCGAGGUCGCUCAGUUGGGAGCCUCAUUCCCAGGAGCACGGCCGCCUCGGCUCUGACCGUGGGGCACCGAGGAUCGGCUCUGACGGCCGUGAGAGGAAGCCCAGGGCUCCUUGGGGCUCAGCCCCGAGCUGGCACUGCCCUGCCCAAUAGGCUCAACAAGCUGAGUGGCCCCAGGGCCACUGGCUGUCGCGGGGAGCUGCCGUCCAUGGACACUCGCGAGGCCCUGAGUCCUUGCCAGGAAGCCUGGAACAAAGGCUGUCCACCCCCGGAGGACAUGAGUGACACCAGCUGCAGCCUCGGAAGUGGCCCCCAGGCACCCUCCGUCCCUGCCAGCUCUCAGGACGUCUUUACCUCCAGCUUUAGUUUCAUUCGCCUCUCCUUGGGCUCUGCUGGGGAACGGGGAGAAGCAGAAGGCUGCCCACCCUCCAGAGAGGCUGAGGGCCCUCAUCAGAGCCUAGAGGAGAAGGAGGCCAAGGCUGCCAGCUCGGGUGGACCCCACGAUCACCCUCGGCUCCUCUCUCUCCCCUUCACUCUCAAGGCUUCUCAGGGCCUGGCAGACGCUGCCCAGACCUUGGGGGGCAGCCCCAGUCUGGAGGGCCAGACUCUUCCGUUGUUGGACACGGAUGCUGCCUCCUCCUGCUCCCUGGAUCCCUUGUGGUUUGAAGCUAGCAGCUCUGCAGAUGCUCACCAGUGGGACCCGCUGCUCAGCAGAUGUGAGCCAGCGCUGCUGCACUGCCUGCAGGGCCAGCGGAGGUGUCUGGAGGUAAAAUCCUUAAGAUUAAAGCUUCAGAAACUUCAAGAUAAAGCGAUUGAAGAUGAUGAUUAUGAUAAGGCCGAGAUGAUCCAGCAAAGAUUGGAAGCCCUGGAGAAGGAGAGAAGCAGCCUGCACUUUCAGCUUCCUUCUCAACAGCCCGCCCUCAGCGGCCUCCUGGGCCACCUGGGGGCCCAGGCCCAGGCUUCCCUGCGCUGGGCAGCUCAGCGAGCUGGCAGUGACGACCCCCAGGCCCGGCUGAGAAUGGAUCCAAAGACGUUGGAAGCCGCUGCUCAGGACAGUUUGCGAGUGUCCAUCACCAGGCGAGACUGGCUUCUCCGAGAAAAGCAGCAGCUACAGAAAGAAAUUGAGACCCUCCAAGCCAGGAUGUCUGUUCUGGAAGCAAAAGAUCAACAGCUGAGACGGGAAAUUGAGGAGCAGGAGCGGCUUCUCCCGUGGCAGGGCUGCGACCUUGUGGGAGGGUUGUCCCUGGGCGAGCUGCAGGAGGUCACCAAGACCUUGCAGGACACCCUGGCCUUGGCCGAGCAGAUUCCCCUCCGUGCAGAGCCACCUGAAGCCAUCCAGAGCCUCCAGGAAAGGAUAAAGUCCCUCAGCUUGUCACUUAAAGAAAUCACUGCUAAGGUGUGUAUGAGUGAAAGACUCUGCAGUGCCCUGAGAAAGAAGGUUAAUGAUAUUGAAACCCAACUGCCAGCACUGUUUGAAGCCAAAAUGCUUGCCAUCUCAGGAAACCAUUUCUGUACAGCCAAGGAGCUCACGGAGGAGAUCAGAUCAUUAACGCUGGAGAGGGAAGGGCUGGAGGGGCUUCUCCACAAGCUGUUGGUACUGAGUUCCAGGAACGUCCAAAAGCUGGGAAGUGUGAAAGAAGAUUACAGCAGACUCAGGCAAGAACUGGACCAGGGGAGAGCUGCCUAUGAAACCAGUGUGAAGGUCUAUACUAUGAAGUACAUGGAAAUGCUUGAGGAGAAGCUGCACAGCUGCAAGUGUCCGCUGCUUGGAAAAGUGUGGGAAGCUGACUUGGAAGCUUGUCGGUUGCUUAUCCAGAGCUUGCAGCUCCAGGAGGCCAGGGGCAGCCUGUUUGCAGAUGAGAGACAGACGGAUGACUUAGGGGGAGGUACUUAUACAAUGGCUCUGGCCAGCCCCCCGAGGUCCCACCCUGAAGAGGAAAGGAAGACCCCUUUGCAAGCCUUUGAAGAGUGGACGGUGCACCUGACCCCCUCUCCUCACAGUGCUAGCAGUGAACAGAAAGAGGAAUCUUACAUCUUUUCAGCGGAACUUGGAGAAAAAUGUGAAACCAUAGGCAAGAAGCUAUUGUACUUAGAAGAUCAGCUGCACAUGGCAAUCCACAGUCAUGAUGAAGAUCUCAUUCUCUCUCAAGGGGGAGCUCCAGAUGGUGAAGGAAACUCUCCAGGCCAUGGCCUUGCAGCUCCAGCCAGCAAAGGAGGCGGGGGAGAGGGAGGCUGCAGCUUCCUGUGUGACAGCUGGCGUCCGGGAAGCACAGUCCUGAGGCCUGACAGGACGGAGGGAGUAGUGACGCUCCCGUCUUCAUUCGGAUCCAUGGACAGUAGACAAUCUUUGUCAUUUCCUGAAGUCUCACUGCCAUUUCCAAAGGCAGCUGGUGCUUUGCUCAGCCUUCCGUGCUGUGCAGUGCUUCCGUCGGGAGAUGGCCCUGUUUAA